rnacentral:lncRNA from 1 species
GGGGGGCAGGGGGCUCUGUUGGGAGUGGCAGCACAGGAGCUUCAGUGGCAACUGUAGUGAUGGUAGAGGAAGUGACAGCCCCCUCCCCCUUGCCCAAAACAGGCAAGGCCAGAGGUCCAGGAACAGGUGGGACAGCCACAGGCAGCAGGGGUGUGAUGUCUGGCUGCCCCACCAUCUGGUCAAGGGCUACAGGCCUCAUGACCAAAUGUGAGCACUGCAUGACAAGCCCCUUGUCUUUGUGCUCACGGGCAUGCAGGAGUAGGCUACACUUGUUGAAGAAAACCAGGCGACGGGCACAGUGGUUACAGGUGACCUCUAUACGCAUGCUUCUGCGAUCAU